AUUGAACGCUGGCGGCAUGCUUUACACAUGCAAGUCGAACGGUAACAGGCCGCAAGGUGCUGACGAGUGGCGAACGGGUGAGUAAUGCAUCGGAACGUGCCCAGUCGUGGGGGAUAACUACUCGAAAGAGUAGCUAAUACCGCAUACGAUCUAUGGAUGAAAGCGGGGGACCGUAAGGCCUCGCGCGAUUGGAGCGGCCGAUGUCAGAUUAGGUAGUUGGUGGGGUAAAGGCUCACCAAGCCAACGAUCUGUAGCUGGUCUGAGAGGACGACCAGCCACACUGGGACUGAGACACGGCCCAGACUCCUACGGGAGGCAGCAGUGGGGAAUUUUGGACAAUGGGCGCAAGCCUGAUCCAGCAAUGCCGCGUGCAGGAUGAAGGCCUUCGGGUUGUAAACUGCUUUUGUACGGAACGAAACGGCUCUGGUUAAUACCCGGGGCUAAUGACGGUACCGUAAGAAUAAGCACCGGCUAACUACGUG
rnacentral:rRNA from 1 species